GACGAACCGUGCGAACGUUGUUCGGAAUCACUGGGGUUAAAGGGCGUGUAGGCGGGCCAUAAAGUCAGGGGUGAAAUCCUCCAGCUUAACUGGAGAACUGCCUUUGAUACUGAUGGUCUCGAGUAAGGUAGGGGCAUGCGGAACUGAUGGUGGAGCGGUGAAAUGUGUUGAUAUCAUCAGGAACUCCAGUGGCGAAGGCGGCUACCUGGCCCACUCUUGACGCUGAGGCGCGAAAGCUAGGGGAGCAAACGGG
rnacentral:rRNA from 1 species